CUGACCUUCUCUAAGUAGGCCCCUUCUGCAUGGUUAGAAGAUUUAGAAUUGCACAAAAAUAUGAUGAUUCAUGAAGCCCUGAAUACCUUGGCCUCCUUGCUCUGAUAUCCCUUGUUGAAAGCAUGGGCCCUGAGGUCUGCACUGUUUUCCCAGGUGGACCUGUGGAGCCUUCAGUCCUGGAGCUCAGGUCUUGCUGCAGCCACUCUGCUAAUUCUCCUCUUGCUUGAGCUUCUGACUCAGGGAAUUCCUGAGGGAGGAAAACCGGAGUCCUUGAUAAAGAGCCAGUUUUUGCAAUAUUCCCACUGAAAAGAAUGAACAUAACCUUUAAAGAGUAGAGAAUUUGUUAUUCUAAGGCUGUUUUAUAGUCCAAGCUUACCGAUUCUAUUUGAGAUGUCUCUCCUUGCAAGAUACACUGUCCUGGCUGGAAAAGGCUUUAAUACUCCAGGCAUGGUAGGAAGGCUGCUUUGCUCAACUUUGCUUUGCUGUUAAAACAUUAAGUGUAAUCUGAUGUGUCAAUAGAGUCACCUCAGGUACUCAGAAUCAUUUUAAUUCCUCUUACUGUCAAAACAUACUGUCAAUGCUGACACGAAUUGGCAUUAAAAAUAUAUGCGAAAUCACCUGGAGAACAGCACUUUUUACUGAUAGGAGGUCUCUUUAAAAGCGGUCUCUGUCAAAGAUUCAAUUUGAACUCUUUUUUGGCUUUGAAUUUUAUAGAGCAGCUCUUUUUUUUUUUUUUUUAAACCUGACCUGCUUUGCAUCAUUCAAACCUAUCAGUGGAGGAAAGAAGCUUUUCUUUUUAUCUGACCCUAUGGGAGAUGUUGUACAUUCCCAGUGUGUGCCCUGAAACAGAUGUGCAAGAUGACACAUAAGUGGAUGACAUCACUCAUGGCUAGUGAUUAAAUACUUCCCUGGGACUCACAAAAGGCACUCAAAAGAAAAUGGAAAGGAGGAGUGAUUAUCAGGACUUAUAUACUCCUUCUGGGUGCAUGAUUUUGCCACUCUAGAUAGAUUUUAAUAUGGAGGAAAUACGAAUGACCAAAAUGGAAGAAUAUAAAUAUGAAAACCUCAGAUUUUGGUGUUGGAGAAGUAUAAACCUAGAAAUAUACAUAUACAUAUACAUGAUUUUAUUUGUAACAUAUUAUAUUUUAUGUGCUUUGUAUUUUAUAACAUGGGAUACAAAAUAUAUAAAUGUAUGUAUGUAUAAUAUAUGUAAUAUAUAUGUCUUUGCAAUAUAUACGUAUAUUCAGUGUAUAUUAUAUACAUGUAGUGUACCAGAUCCCCAAGCAAAUAGAAAAAACAAGAAGGAAAUAUUUUAUUUUUUGAGAAGUGUCAUAUUCUUUUCUAACUUGCAUACAGAGGUUAUCUAAGUGUUUUUUUAAUAAAUAUGUUAUAGCAUUAUAUUUGAAGAGCUGAAGCAUUAUUUAUCAAAUAAUUCAUGUAUUAGCAUUUGAUGUAUAUAUGUAAGUGUAUAUAUAUAUGUGUAUAUAUAUAUAUAUACAUACAUACAUAUAUAUAUAUAAAUUUGGUGCAUACACAACUGUUUGUUUUGUUUUAUUGUUUUGCUUUGCAGAGUCUUGGGUGGAUAAAUGACCUAUUGAACUGAAAAGUGAACACCCUUGCAUUUUAAGUUUUGAAAGCAAUAGAUUCCAUUGACAGGAUGACUAGAUUUUCUUUGCUGUUUGAAAUCUAAGAGCUGGUCAUUCUUUUUCUAUUUUGCUAAUGUUAGCAGAUUGUGUGUGUGUGUGUGUGUGUGUGUGUGUGUGUGUGUGAUAGAGAGAGAGAGAGAGAGAGAGAGAGAGAGAGUCUGGCAGCAAAUCACUCAGCUGACCUUUUUCGUAAUCAACUACAAUGAGCAGAGUGUGCGUAUAUGUGUGUGUCCCUGCACUUUUGGUGUGAUAGACAGUUUGCUUAAAUAUGUGGGAAAAGUUAAUCCCACUGCCCCUGACCUUUGGCACAGGAACCUUGUGCUUCCAGUAGAAAGUGUGGUAAAUGCCAAGUCCUUUGGGCAGAAGAUGUUUGCAUUAAUGUUUUCUAUGCUGGAGCCUGAGCCAUAGAUUUUCUGUCAGCCGUCCUUUGCACUGCUGAUAUGGAGUAGGUUGAGUUGUAUAUAGAAUAUAGUGCCUGAUG
rnacentral:lncRNA from 1 species